rnacentral:rRNA from 1 species
AUUAAACGCUGGCGGCAGGCCUAACACAUGCAAGUCGAACGGUAGCACAGAGAGCUUGCUCUCGGGUGACGAGUGGCGGACGGGUGAGUAAUGUCUGGGAAACUGCCCGAUGGAGGGGGAUAACUACUGGAAACGGUAGCUAAUACCGCAUAACGUCGCAAGACCAAAGUGGGGGAACUUCGGGCCUCACACCAUCGGAUGUGCCCAGAGUGGGAUUGGCUAGUAGGUGGGGUAAUGGCUCACCUAGGCGACGAUCCCUAGCUGGUCUGAGAGGAGGACCAGGCACACAGGAACUGCGACACGGUCCAGACUCCUACGGGAGGCAGCAGUGGGGAAUAUUGCGCAGGGGGCGCAAGCCUGAUGCAGCCAUGCCGCGUGUAUGAAGAAGGCCUUCAGGUUGUAAAGUACUUUCAGCGGGGAGGAAGGCGGUGAAGUUAAUAACUUCACCGAUUGACGUUACCCGCAGAAGAAGCACCGGCUAACUCCGUGCCAGCCGCGCCGUAA